rnacentral:sRNA from 1 species
AACAGUCAGGGCUCCAGCUGGAGGACGAUAAUGCAAGGUGCUAUGUUCUUGGCUGUUCAACACGACUGCAGCCCCAUGGACAAGAGCGCAGGCAGCGGCCACAAGAGCGAGGAGAAGCGGGAAAAGAUGAAACGGACCCUUUUAAAAGAUUGGAAGACCCGUUUGAGCUACUUCUUGCAAAAUUCCUCUACUCCUGGGAAGCCCAAAACCGGCAAAAAAAGCAAACAGCAAGCUUUCAUCAAGUAAGUUGAGAAUCCUGUGCUUGCAAAUAUCAGUAGUUAGCUGCUGAACUGAAAAGGGGAACUCUGAUGUGCGUAAGCUAACAUGCAGAACCUCUCUUGCAGGCCUUCUCCUGAGGAAGCACAGCUGUGGUCAGAAGCAUUUGACGAGCUGCUAGCCAGCAAAUGUAAGUUAACUCUUGAACUGGAGCCAUUACUAACAUCUCAAAAGCCUGGAAAGGCUGCGUCCACCUAACAAGAGCAACUUGCCUGAGGGGGAUUAGACUGCAGUCACUAUAGGAUAAAGCCUGUUUUUCUCUCCUUUAUUUCCCAGGGUUUAACCAUGGAAAUAAAUGCAUAUAUUCCCUCCAGGUGGGGAAGAAAAUCAGCCUAAACAAAUUAAAGUGGCAGUUGCUUAUAGUUAGGGUUGAGUCAGUUUUUCCAUUGCAUACAAUGUUUUCAAGAGGCUUAGUUGCCAGAGAAUUUAUGGCUCCCCUAUAAAUAUUUACUUUGCAUUGACAGCAAAGUACUUAUAUUUUUGCAGCAGAGUGCCAACAUAAGCCUUUUGCCUACUGGUAUCUUAGUCUUUAAAAAGCUAAAUUUUGAGAAUUACAGGUUUGAGCAAAAUCUAGAAAAUUCAUUUAGAAAUAAUUAAAAUG